UCUCUCUCUCUCUCUCUCUCUCUCUCUCCUCUAAUAAAUUUGGAAUUAAAUGCAUAGACCAAUCAACUUUCACAUACUGUCUUUAUAAAAAAUUUAAUAUUUUUAAAAUAUUUUUCUGAUUAUUAUUGUUAAAACUGUUUAUAUUUUGACAGUAAAUAAAAAAAUAUUAAUUUUGUCAUCACAAAUAUGUCGCUUUAAAAAUAACAACACAACAGUACAAUAUAAGAGGAAUAAAAAUGUCAAAUUUUUUCAUAAACAAAUCAGAAUUAAAUAUUUAAUCUAUAGUUAACUAAAUUUUUCUAAUGGAUUCGAACGAAAGGAAUAUUUAAAAAUAUUAGGACUUUUCAGAAACAACAUAUGAAAGUUCAAUUUUAAAGGAAUAUACUUAUAAUUUACUAUAUUUAUAGGGACUUGUAUGCAAUUAAUCUAACAGUAGUGGGAAAAUGUAUGGAGACCCUUCAACUAUAGGCAAUUCUGAAACGGAGCACUCAACUUUUUUCUUUUUUCUUUUUUUUUUCCACUGGGCACUUUUUAAACUUCUAAUUUUGUUAAUUGGGUUUUUACAGUUAAUUAUGUUGAAAAUUUUGUAAAAUUUUAUAACGCAAUUAGCUGUUAUUUUGGUAGAAGUACUGUUACGGCAAAAGCACAAAGGAAAACGAAAAAUGGCAAAUACAAAAUAAAAAAAAUCACAAAUAGAAAUAGAAGAACACAUAAAUUUACGUGAAAAAUUUUUUGUAGGAAAAAACUACGGACGAAAAAGAAGAGACCUUCGCUAUCGAAAAACGAAAAACGAUGUUCGGAGUAUGACCAACAUUGAUCUAUCGCCUCUAAGGUGAGAAAAUAAAAAGAACAUUCUUAACAGUUUUUGAAUUCGAUCCGUACCAUAAUUUUCGCUACCCACCACAAAUAUUUAUUUUUUAUUCACAAAUUUCUUUUCAAAUAUCGUACCGUAAAUUUGUCGACGAGUCGAAAUUUCGAACUGAAGUUGAUUGUCAACUUCGAAUCACAUCUAACAAAUACAAAUCAAUUCGUAAAAAUCCUAUUUUAUUUGGCACAAAUCAUUUGAUUUCUAAAA
rnacentral:lncRNA from 1 species